AGUGAACGCUGGCGGCAGGCCUAACACAUGCAAGUCGAACGGCAGCACAGGAGAGCUUGCUCUCUGGGUGGCGAGUGGCGGACGGGAGAGGAAUACAUCGGAAUCUACCUUGUCGUGGGGGAUAACGUAGGGAAACUUACGCUAAUACCGCAUACGACCUUCGGGUGAAAGCAGGGGACCUUCGGGCCUUGCGCGAUUAGAUGAGCCGAUGUCGGAUUAGCUAGUUGGCGGGGUAAAGGCCCACCAAGGCGACGAUCCGUAGCUGGUCUUAGAGGAUGAUCAGCCACACUGGAACUGAGACACGGUCCAGACUCCUACGGGGGGCAGCAGUGGGGAAUAUUGGACAAUGGGCGCAAGCCUGAUCCAGCCAUGCCGCGUGGGUGAAGAAGGCCUUCGGGUUGUAAAGCCCUUUUGUUGGGAAAGAAAAGCAGUCGGCCAAUACCCGAUUGUUCUGACGGUACCCAAAGAAUAAGCACCGGCUAACUUCGUGCCAGCAGCCGCCGUAAUAC
rnacentral:rRNA from 1 species